GUCUAAGUAUAAGCAAUUAUACCGUGAAACUGCGAAUGGCUCAUUAAAUCAGUUAUCGUUUAUUUGAUAGUACCUUACUACUUGGAUAACCGUGGUAAUUCUAGAGCUAAUACAUGCUAAAAACCCCAACUUCGGGAGGGGUGUAUUUAUUAGAUAAAAAACCAAUGCCCUUCGGGGCUCUUUGGUGAUUCAUGAUAACUUAACGGAUCGCAUGGCCUUGCGCCGGCGACGGUUCAUUCAAAUUUCUGCCCUAUCAACUUUCGAUGGUAAGGUAUUGGCUUACCAUGGUUUCAACGGGUAACGGGGAAUUAGGGUUCGAUUCCGGAGAGGGAGCCUGAGAAACGGCUACCACAUCCAAGGAAGGCAGCAGGCGCGCAAAUUACCCAAUCCCGACACGGGGAGGUAGUGACAAUAAAUACUGAUACAGGGCUCUUUUGGGUCUUGUAAUCGGAAUGAGUACAAUUUAAACCUCUUAACGAGGAACAAUUGGAGGGCAGCU
rnacentral:rRNA from 1 species